AUUGAACGCUGGCGGCAGGCCUAACACAUGCAAGUCGAACGAGUGGCGGACGGGUGAGUAAUGUCUGGGAAACUGCCUGAUGGAGGGGGAUAACUACUGGAAACGGUAGCUAAUACCGCAUCCCAUCGGAUGUGACCAGAUGGGAUUCGCUAGUAGGUGGGGUAAAGGGUCACCUAGGCGACGAGCCCUAGCUGGUCUGAGCGGAUGACAAGCCACACUGGAACUGAGAAAGGGGCCAGACUCCUACGGGAGGCAUCAGUGGGGAAUAUUGGACAAUGGGCGCAAGCCGGAUGCAGCCAUGCCGCGUGUAUGAAGAAGUCCUUGGGGUUGUAAAGUACUUGCAGCGGGGAGGCGUUACCCGCAGAAGAAGCACCGGCUAACUCCGUGCCAGCAGCCGCGGUAAUUC
rnacentral:rRNA from 1 species